UACGUAGGUGGCGAGCGUUAUCCGGAAUUACUGGGCGUAAAGCGCACGCAGGCGGCUCUUCAAGUUCGACGUGAAAGCUCCCGGCUUAACUGGGAGAGGUCGUUGAAGACUGAGGGGCUUGAGGCAAUGAGAGGGGUGUAGAAUUCCCGGUGUAGUGGUGGAAUGCGUAGAUAUCGGGGGGAAUACCAGUGGCGAAAGCGGCACCCUAGCAUUAGCCUGACGCUCAUGUGCGAAAGCGUGGGGAGCGAACGGG
rnacentral:rRNA from 1 species